rnacentral:lncRNA from 1 species
AUAGUAUUAUUUUUGAAUUUUGCUUAGUCUGAAAUUAACAAAAAAUUAAUUAAACUUUAACAGGUGAACCUGAUUCGUCUACCUGAAGUAGGAAUCAAGCGAGAAGAAGUAAGUAACUUAAUACUUCAAUGUGCAUUUUUCUAAAUUAUUUGGUAAAAUAAUUAUUAGUACUUUAAAAUAUGUUUUGUAUUUAGUAAAAUGGGUCUGGCAUGUUAAAUUUCAUUUGAAAAUUAUGCUCUGAAAUCCGUAAACUAUGACUGGGCAAUUUAUGAAAUAUAUUUUAUAUAUAUAUAUAUGCAUUCUCAGCAUGGCUAUGAUCUGUUCUGUUCUGUUCUGGCCCUGCCAAUGGGGAUUAUACGUUGGCCCUGUCGACUUGUAUCUGUGAGGAACCGGUUUCGACACCGUACCACCGGUGAUUAGAAUAGUGGUAUUUGAACACCGUACCACCGGUGAUUAGAAUAGUGGUAUUUGGAUACCGUACCACCGGUGCUUAAUAAUAGUGGUGUUUGGACACCGUACCACCGGUGCUUAAUAAUAGUGGUGUUUGGCACCUUGUGCAACCCAUGC